rnacentral:rRNA from 1 species
CUUGACGACCAUAGAGCGUUGGAACCACCUGAUCCCAUCCCGAACUCAGUAGUGAAACGACGCAUCGCCGAU